rnacentral:rRNA from 1 species
UGAGUACGAGAUGCUACGGCGUCGAAGCAGUCUAGGUCAUACUUCCAAGAAAAGCUUGCACUCUCAUAAACAAAGAAUGCCUGUACCAUAACCGACACAGGUGGGUAGGUAGAGUAUACUAAGGGGCGCGAGAUAACUCUCUCUAAGGAACUCGGCAAAAUGACUCCGUAACUUCGGGAGAAGGAGUGCCUUAUUUUUAAGGUUGCAAUAACAAGAUCCAAGCAACUGUUUACCAAAAACACAGGUCUCCGCUAAGUCGUAAGACGAUGUAUGGGGGCUGACGCCUGCCCAGUGCCAGAAGGUUAAAGAAGUUGGUUAGCAUUUGCGAAGCUGAUAACUGAAGCCCUGGUGAACGGCGGCCGUAACGAUAACGGUCCUAAGGUAGCGAAAUUCCUUGUCGGGUAAGUUCCGACCCGCACGAAAGGCGUAAUGAUUUGGAUACUGUCUCGGAGAGGGGCUCGGUGAAAUAGACUUGUCUGUGAAGAUGCGGACUACCUGCACCUGGACAGAAAGACCCUAUGAAGCUUUACUGUAACUUGAGAUUGAAAUUGGACUUUAUUUGCGCAGUAUAGGUGGGAGGCGUUGAGAAUAAUCUUGCGGGAUUAUCGGAGCCAUCAGUGAGAUACCACUCUUGUAAUGUUAGAUUUCUAACUUUGUAUCAUUAUCUGGUCAAAGAACAGUUUCAGGCGGGCAGUUUGACUGGGGCGGUCGCCUCCCAAAGGGUAACGGAGGCGCACAAAGGUUUCCUCUGAACGGGUAGAAAUCGUAUCUAGAGUGUAAAGGCAUAAGGAAGCUUGACUGUGAGACCUACAAGUCGAGCAGGGACGAAAGUCGGUCUUAGUGAUCUGACGGUGUUGAGUGGAAAGGCCGUCACUCAACGGAUAAAAGUUACUCAAAGGAUAACAGGCUGAUCUCCCCCAAGAGUUCACAUCGACGGGGAGGUUUGGCACCUCGAUGUCGGCUCAUCGCAUCCUGGGGCGGUAGUACGUCCCAAGGGUUGGGCUGUUCGCCCAUGAAAGCGGUACGCGAGCUGGGUUCAGAACGUCGUGAGACAGUUCGGUCCAUAUCCGGUGUAGGCGUUAGAAUAUUGAAAGGAGCCUUCUCUAGUACGAGAGGACCGAGAAGGACAUACCUCUGGUGUGCCAGUUAUCGUGCCAACGGUAAACGCUGGGUAGCUAUGUAUGGAGUGGAUAACCGCUGAAAGCAUCUAAGUGGGAAGCCCACCUUAAGAUAAGUAUUCUCAUC